GCGUGUGAGGUGUCCUACCCAUG
rnacentral:siRNA from 1 species